rnacentral:snRNA from 1 species
AAAAUAACAGAGGGGAGACACUAUGAUCAAGACAGUGGUUCCCUACCCCCUCCCACAGAAGGCUCACCUCUUGUCUUUGGAUUAUGCUAACCUCUCUAAUUUCCUCAAACCCGGGACACUGAAAAAUUUGCAGGAGUGGGGGACUGUGUUCACCCUCUCCCCUG